rnacentral:rRNA from 1 species
UACAGAGGUCCCAAGCGUUGUUCGGAUUCACUGGGCGUAAAGGGUGCGUAGGCGGUCGGGUAAGUCUGAUGUGAAAUCUCACAGCUUAACUGUGAAACUGCAUUGGAUACUAUCCGGCUAGAGGAAUGGAGGGGAGACUGGAAUACUUGGUGUAGCGAGUGAAAUGGACGUAGAUAUCAAGUGGAACACCAGUGGCGAAGGCGAGUCUCUGGACAUUUCCUGACGCUGAGGCACGAAAGCCAGGGGAGCAAACGGG